AAUGACGAAAUGCUAUCCAAACUGUGUUAGUAUUCUAUAUAAAAAGUGCUGUAGAGUAAUUUUACUAACCAAGAGAACAUUUUUUACAAUUAAUUGGGUUUUUUUGUUGCAAAUAUUUGACCUCGCGUGACCUUUUUUCCCAUUUUUGCAAAGUAACGUACAAUGCCAUAUAAUAAAAAAACUUACUGACCUCAACCGUUCGGGCAUGAUGAUUCCCUUGGAUGAAACAGACUGUUGUGGCAACCUUUUGAGGUAAGACGAUAAUUUCUGAUCUAUAUGAUAUCGAGCCCCUUUUUGGCAUUUUGUGAACUAUAUCCCGAUUACGCUAUCGGAAUAUUCGCACUUAGCUCAAUUAUCCGUGUGCAUUAACUCUUGCUGCUACCCUCCCUUGCGUUUAUGUUUAGUAAUUACUAAUGUAUUCUGUAAUUUAUUGCUAUAGUUCUUUAUUGUGGAUAUUGGGAACGAUUUAUUAAAUCAACAAUGCAUAUGAGGGGGUGGAGGGGGAGGGUUCUAUUCGGUUACCACGUUAUCCACAUUGUCCGACAUGCAUAUCAACUAGGAAGUUAUUCAUGAAUAUGUUGCACACGUGACAGUAUCAAUGUUGUUAAGGAACUUUUAUCCCUUACCUGCAUAUAUUAAACCACCAUCGGCAAACUGUUUGUCAGGUUGAGCUCGGUUUUCUGUGCUGCCGAAUACUACUAGAAUAGUCAAAGCCUUUAUGGCAUAAUUAUGGCUAUGUGCCCGGUUGUUAGCACAUAGCCGCUUCCAUAAAACAUGAAAUUAUUUCAUGGACAUAAAACGGGAAGUAAAUUGGUAAAUGGUAAUAUAAAGCUAAUAUAAAGCUAAUACACCAGAAUAACACAAGACUAAUAAAACCAAACACAGUCAUGGUAACAUUCAUACAACACAAGAAAAGGCAGCAGUAAUCAUGGCAUGCAUACGGCGCAACGUGGUAUAGUCGCAAAUUAAAAAUCCCGUAAUGUACAAUAAUUGGGCAAUGCGCAUUGCUGGCCAUCUGAAAACAUAGAAAGCUGCUCCAACCAAACAAUGAUAGUGGCUAGCCCAUAGCCGCGCAUGAGCCACAAAAAUGUUGGAUCUGGCAUUGCAAUGUUGCAGAGGGCUAAAAAUGUCAUUCCAGUAAGCUCACUACAAAUGAUUUGACAAUGCCUUGAUUCAGCCUUAUUUUGAUUACUGUUCUCCACUAUGGGACAUUUGUGGCACAGCCUCGUAAACCAGGCGCAAAUAACUAAAAAUAGGCACACUACAGUGUUUUUAUAUAGAUCAGUAGCUAAGAUGAGCAAGCGCGCGGGGGUGCUUGGGGAGGACUCGACGGGGUACACUGUAGUGUGCUUAUUUUUAGCUCUUUGCGCCUGGGUACGAGGCUGUUUGUGGCACACAACUGCUUGAUAAACUUCAGAAAUUUCAAAAUCGUGCGGCAAGAAUAAUUGCUGGCGCAAGUUACCAUUCUUCUGUAUAAAAUUCUAAACGAUAUUAUACUGCUCCUAACUUGAAAGAAUCAUUGAUUGGGAGUAGUUUAACGCAACGAACUAUAUAACUUAAGAAAUAGAUAUACUAAUUUAGCUCUCCCAAAACCGAGAAGGGAAUUCCUAAAAAACGUUUUAAAUACAGCGGGGCAAAGCUUUGGAAUAGCCUUUCUCGGGAAGCAAAAAAGGCACAAUCAACCCAUAUUUUCAAAGAAAAUAUUAAUCUUUGAUUCUGUUAUUAAUGUUAAUCUAUGAGUCACACCUCCUGUAUUCAGCAUGCACUCUUGUAAAUAGUUUUUCUUUGUUUCUACUUAUUUUCUUGUAAAUACUUUGUAUAUAAAUUGACGACGCCCCUCGUGAAAACCAACGUAUGUUGAUGAGGCUAGCGUCUUGAAAUAAAUUUUUACGAUACAAUAAUGUGCCAUCAUUUAUUUGAAUAUUUUUUUGUUCUUGCAAACAAUUUUUAAGGAUCUCUUAUCGCUCCUUCCAAAAAAUAAUGGUCCGUCCCUAUAACGUUUACACUUAUGCAAAUUUCGCUGCGAUUUCUUAUAGUGCAAUUUCGUCUUCUGAUGUAUGUGAACGAGUAGACGAGUUAUGAAUGUUAUGAGUGUAUGUACCGUACGGCAUCAACUAUUUCGCUGUCCUCAGAAUGACAUUUCGUCAAAACUUUUUUCUUCAAGAUUGGUUUAGAAACAAAUUUGGAGUAGGGUUAGGUUAGGGUAAGGAUUA
rnacentral:lncRNA from 1 species